UGAGUCAAAAACUCCCCGUUGAAAAGUCCACUUUAUGGCCGGAAUCCGUCCGGUUGAUUUCUUGAUAUUGGGCCCAAAUGGACCUUAGAGUUGGAUUAAUGAAUAAUUAGGCUUACUAACGGGUCUCGGGGGCUUUAGACUGACCCAGGUCCUAGUGCCGGUUCGACCCAUAGGUUGGAUCAUGACAUGGUUGAUGACAAGAUCCAUU
rnacentral:misc_RNA from 1 species